UACGGGGGGGGCAAGCGUUGUUCGGAAUUACUGGGCGUAAAGGGCUCGUAGGUGGCCAACUAAGUCGGACGUGAAAUCCCUGGGCUCAACCCAGGAACUGCGUCCGAUACUGGUUGGCUUGAAUCCGGGAGAGGGAUGUGGAAUUCCAGGUGUAGCGGUGAAAUGCGUAGAUAUCUGGAGGAACACCGGUGGCGAAGGCGACAUCCUGGACCGGUAUUGACGCUGAGGCGCGAAAGCCAGGGGAGCAAACGGG
rnacentral:rRNA from 1 species